rnacentral:lncRNA from 1 species
ACACGACCAGCUAUUUAACAAUUUACAAACUUACUUUUGCAACGAAGAAGAAGAAGACGACAACAAAGAUCAGUGAAAUUACCUAAACAAAAAAAUCAGAUUAAGUUAUGAACUCUGAUAAAUACAACUAACAAUGAUUUUUGUUUACAUAUUACCCAUCAAAUGAAAGAUAAACAAACACAGCCACACCAGGAGAUACAAGAGACAAUCCC